rnacentral:rRNA from 1 species
AGCGGACGCUGGCGGCAGGCCUAACACAUGCAAGUCGAACGGACCCUUCGGGGUUAGUGGCGGACGGGUGAGUAACACGUGGGAACGUGCCUUUAGGUACGGAAUAGCUCCCGGAAACGGGUGGUAAUGCCCAAUGUGCCCUUCGGGGGAACGAUUUAUCGCCUUUAGAGCGGCCCGCGUCUGAUUAGCUAGUUGGUGAGGUAAUGGCUCACCAAGGCGACGAUCAGUAGCUGGUCUGAGAGGAUGACCAGCCACAUUGGGACUGAGACACGGCCCAAACUCCUACGGGAGGCAGCAGUGGGGAAUCUUGCGCAAUGGGCGAAAGCCUGACGCAGCCAUGCCGCGUGGAUGAUGAAGGUCUCAGGAUUGUAAAAUCCUUUCACCGGUGAAGAUAAUGACUGUAGCCGGAGAAGAAGCCCCGGCUAACUUCGUGCCAGCCGCCGCGGUAACAC